rnacentral:lncRNA from 1 species
AUAUAAUGUUAUGUGCGUGAUCAAUUUAAAUGGAAAGCUGUUCAAUUGCAGCGGAAUAGCGGAUUUUUAAAUACUUGGGUUGACGUCACUAAACUUUUCAAGAAGCGGUGCGCGCCGUCCGCGUUUGUGAAUAGAGACAGAACAGAACCGUGCGGGAACGAGAGAGAGCUGGGCGACAAGGAGACCGUACAAAACAAGGACUCUUUCACUUCAUUCGGCUCCUGAUCCACUGCAGAGCCCAGGUCUCAGUACCACCAUAGAAGCUAUCGCAGUAUGAACCGAGCUUUCAACCGGAGAAAAGGUAACAGCUCACUGUAUUCAUUGAGUUCAUUUGAAAUAACACCAUGUUUCUUAUACACAAACAGCACAGUCUUUUGAAAGCAUGUUGACCUCAAGUACUUACCCACUGGGCAAGACCUGGUUGAAUCGACGUUGUUUCCAUGUCCUUUUUAAUCAAAUUUAAUGUGAUGACGUUGAAUCAGAGUGGAAAACUGGAUAAAAAUAAAUCAAUGUAAGGGAUUUUUUUAACCUAAAUAUAAUCUGAUUUUUUGGGGUUUGAUUUCAUGUUAGUUGACAACUGAACCAAAUGUAAAUCAAACUUUGACAUUGAAAUGAGGUCUGUGUCCAGUGGGUAGAGACAUUUCAUGUUGUACUUCUUUAUGGAAUAUAUGUGUUACUUACAGAACAUAAUGUAAAGGCAAUUUGUACCUACUCAGGUCAAUUUAAUUCCUGAUGAACAAAUGUCUCAAUUCUCUCAAUCUCUUCAUUAGUGUCUCUUUCUGUCGCUCUAGUAGUGUCUACACUUUACACUUACAUGUGACUUCUGCUGUCA